UCUUUAUUAAAAAUGGGCCAAAAUCGAAAAUUUUGAAGAAACGAAACUAUGAAGUUUACAACUCUAACUCAACAACGAAAAAUGAUUAUACAAUUUUGGGAAUUGCAUCUGAUAGUACAUUUAAAGCGGACAAAAGUGAUACGUUACACAUGAAUAUAAAAAAAAAAAAUAUUAGUAAUAAGGAAAUACAGCUUUUGCAGAACCCUUGUACCCAACGUAACAAAGUCACGCAAGAUGUAAAAUGACAUAUCGAAUUUGUCCGCUUUGAAUGAUCUCAUAGAUUCCGUUUACAUAACCGCGAUAUCUGUUUUGAUGCAGAGCUAUGAAUUUGUAAACUUCGUGCUUCUAUUUUUUUUCAAACGGUCGAAUAUUUGAAAAUUAUUUUAACAAAAUUCAGGCCUUAAAUCUAAAUUCCGCCUCCAACAGUCACUAGAAGUUACCUUUCUCUCUCAAAUGCAACAAAUUUCAUUAAACUCUGUCCAGGGGUUAUCUCAGAAAAAACGUUUUUAGUUUUUACAUGUACUUGAAUAGGCCGCGUCGGAGUUGGGCCCCGAGGUAAAGCUUCGUCUUAAGACGGCGACACUGACUAGCGCCAAAAAGAAGAAAAAAAGAACUACACGAAGUACAAAUGAUCAAUUUAGAACACAAUAUCGCCCAUUCUUCAUUUAAAGAGCUUUACAUAAGCUCCCAUAGACACAACGUCUACUGUACGACCAGCUUUGCAAGAACGCCAUAUUAAUUGUUGCUGAAAAAUGCUGUCGAAAGGGCCCGUUGUAAAGAAACCAUCACUGGCUGUAGCGUCAAAUGUAAAACUGUUACAUGACUAGUGUGCCAAAACCACUAAAUGAGAGGAUACAAGCAAAAAACAGCGUGCCAGGCAGGCUUCCGCUGUAAAAACGUAAAACAAGGGUUGAAUACCCAUUUUCUUUCGAUUAUGCGCGGACGUUUAGCAGUAGGUUGAUACUAUGUAUUUGGUGAUUUAUUAAUAUUCGAAAACUUACCGCAUAUUUAGUGUGGACUACUCACGCACCCUUAAUAAAGUUAUUCGCUUAUUUAAAAGGACAGGUGCAGGAAGGUGCGCUGCUUGUGGCAUCGCCGAAACUGGAGCCGUGUUCCGUGUCGGCGCCACCAGGUGUCCUCCUCGCCAGUUCAACAAGACAACGAGGAGUGCGUGGAGCCGACUACCGUGCGAGUCCCGGCGCCGACAGACAUCCUCCUAGAAAGCUGAAGCAGGCGAGUGCAGCCGUGUUCUUCACGUUUUAAGGUGUGCGUGGCGUUGGAUCCUCAAGCCGGCCUCCCGUCAGUCCCUGCGCCAGCAGACGUUCUCCUACCGGUGUCACGGUUCACGGGCGGCUUGCGCGAUGCCUUAUGACUACGUGCAAGAGCGCUAAGAAAAAUGAAAUGCCGCACAUCGAAAAAUGUGCACUAGUUCAGUGUCGCGGGACGCAUCUUGCCCCGAAUGCCCCGAUAUGACUGGUAACGUUUAGAAGCGCCCUGAGUAGUAUGGUUCUUUUUCAUUGUGUAAGGAACAGCGAAGAGGUAAUGAAAGCCGUCGUGGUUACUGUAAUUAAGAUAUAGGUCAACGAUUGCAUGAAACUGGCAGCCAUGGCAGUUAUGUAUGUUCCCACGGAACACUGUCAUGUCCGGCUUGCUGUACAACUCAACAUCCUAACGCCUUAUACGUAGCCAAUUACGGGUCACAUGUACAGCACACGAAACCUCCGCUAUGUUUUCCGUAGCUACAGAUGUCAUUAACCCCAUGCGGAUGUAUGACAAGACAACAAAUACGCACGACCACUUCAGAUGUAGAGUCGACGCUGGCCAAUGGAGUAUAGCUGUUUGCAUCCUGGCUCCUGAAUGACACUGAGAUCGAAAGUUCCGACACAGCCAGCUACUUUCCUGAUAACACGCAUGUAGUUCGUUACUGGGAAGUACCGGGCUCGCAGCGUUAACGAAAUGCGGAUAGGACAGAUGACGUUUAUUCUUAUGUGGCAAGAUACAACUCAAAGGGUGUGAACUUAGUUUAUAGUGGCAGAUCUGUACCACGGAAGGGGGGGGGGGGGGGCAAAGUUACACACAGGUGCUCUCACCGUAUACAACGCUGAAGCCUUCAUACCCGGCAAACCAAAAUCGCGCGCAUUGCUUAACACAUAAUGUCGUUUUGUACAGCAGUUCCGUUUCGUAGUGCGAACAGAUUAUAUACCUUGCAUCGAAUGACUUCGAUUCUUUGCUCAUGCGUGUCUUUCCAGAGGAGAUAACAGUAUACCGGACAUGGCAAGAUGCAGCAACUAGGCACUCAAGCUUCAUCCACCAAGAGGGCUGCUCCGCACAUAUUGGACGCAUUCGUGAAAACAGGUUCUGUCCCAGGGAGUACUUCCAAGAGUUGGACAUGAUUUGGUCUACGAUGCCCAUAACCUCCGGAAUUCUCCCGGACGAUAAUAAAGCAAUGAAACAAAGCCUUCUAUGCGGCGCAAACAAGCAUAAAAGCCUUGGCGCACGCAAUGAGCACUUCCAGUUGUCGAA